rnacentral:rRNA from 1 species
AUUGAACGCUGGCGGCAGGCCUAACACAUGCAAGUCGAACGAGUGGCGGACGGGUGAGUAAUGUCUGGGAAACUGCCCGAUGGCGGGGGAUAACUACUGGAAACGGUAGCUAAUACCGCAUACCAUCGGAUUUGCCCAGAUGGGAUUGGCUGGUGGGGGGGGUAACGGCCCACCUAGUCGACGAUCCCUAGCUGGCCUGAGAGGAUGACCAGCCACACUGGAACUGAGACACGGUCCAGACUCCUACGGGAGGCAGCAGUGGGGAAUAUUGCACAAUGGGCGCAAGCCUGAUGCAGCCAUGCCGCGUGUAUGAAGAAGGCCUUCGGGUUGUAAAGUACUGUCAGCGAGGAGGCGUUACUCGCAGAAGAAGCACCGGCUAACUCCGUGCCAGCAGCCGCGGUAAUAC